rnacentral:lncRNA from 1 species
GAUUGUAAUCUAACCUACAGUAUAUAUAUAUUCCUUCAGAAUAAAAUUGAUUGUUUGGUUGUAUGUAGUUAUUGCUCUACAACAGGUCUAAUUGUGCGCGAGUCCAAAUCCAUUAUGCGAAUUGCUGCAUCACCAUCCAAUUGCAAAAAGAGUUUCAAUUACUGUAAGGGGCUGUUUGGUUGCACGUAGUUACUGCUGUACUACAGUUGUAACUACAUGUAAAUACAAAUUUAGUGUUUGGUUUGAUGUAUUUAACUUCAAUUGCUGCAGUAGGAAUUGCAGGGGGAGGCCCAACUACAGCAGUUCGAACUACGCCCAAAUUAGCCACAGUUUCAACUACAACAGUUGGAGAGAGUAACUUUAAAUAAAAGAUAUGCUUACUUUCUCAAUAUUUUUCAAACAAAAAUUAUUUUCUUUUUUUACAUUGGAGGUAAUCUCACCAUCAUAUAUAUAAAAUAAUAAAAUUUUAAAAAUUAUUUCUCAACUGCAUGUAACCAAACAAAUUAUUUAUACUUGCAGCGCUUUCUACUAUAUCAACCAAACAUGAUUUAUAUAGUUGUAACUGUUGUAUUUUCAACUGCAUGCAUCUCUAACUACACUAUAUUUAUAAUUACAUCUAACCAAACGGUCCCUAAGUGGAGUUGUAUCU